GACAGAGGGGGCAAGCGUUGCUCGGAAUCACUGGGCGUAAAGGGCGCGUAGGCGGGAUGGCAAGUCGGUCGUGAAAUCCUUCGGCUCAACCGAAGAACGUCGGCCGAUACUGCCGUUCUUGAGGGAUGCAGAGGAGAUUGGAAUUCCCGGUGUAGAGGUGAAAUUCGUAGAUAUCGGGAGGAACACCAGUGGCGAAGGCGGAGACCUGGGCCGAUACUGACGCUGAGGUGCGAAAGCGUGGGGAGCAAACAGG
rnacentral:rRNA from 1 species